CUUGCUGCCCACUCUCACCCACACCCUCUCAUUCCCCUCCCUCGUCGCCUCUCCGCAUCGUCGCCGGCCACCGCAGCCCAUCGCGUUCUCACUCCAGCAGCCCACCGUGUUCUUCCUCCUGCAACCCAGCGCUUGCUUCCUCUCCUUCCUUUCCCACCGCUUGCUUCCUCUCCUUCCUUUCCCAUCCCGAGGUCAAAAGAGUGGUUAUUUAUGCGCCGGUGAAGAGCUUCUGGGCGGCGGAGCUGGUGUGGGCUCCGACGCCGGAUCCGCGUGCGCGUACGCUGGAUCUGGGCGACAGAGCGGCCUGGACAGAGCGGAGCGGCAACGGGAGUGGAGCAGCGGGGUGGCCCCCGGGAAGGAUGCCUGGCCGGCUGCGGGCACCCUGGGUGGGGCUGCGCUUCUAUGCGGCGACCUCAUCGAGACCAAGAAGCCGGUGUUGGUGAUGCUGCUGCACAUCGAUGACCUCCUCCCUCUCAUGCGUGCCCGUCGUCGUGCGCCGUGACAGUUAGGUCCAUGGAACUUCCCUCCCCCCUGCUCGGGACGCCACCAAGUCGAUGCAGGGAGAGGAGGACGACCCCAGCCAUGGAGUAGCAACAACUCAAGUUUAAGGUCAAAGUGAUGGUCAUGGGUGAAAUUAGGGACGAUGCCCAGCAGCAACAACUCACCAACACCUGCUCCGACGCCAUGGACCAACAACAGCAACUGAAGGAUGUGGGUGAGGAAAGCGGACAUGCUCGAUGGACCGACAAGGUGGUGAAGGAUGAGCUUGUUCACUGUGUAUGAUCCAUCCAUGCCCCUUCUGUUUUGCUGUUUGUCAACACACAUUGUACUGUAUGCUUACAUGCUGUCAAUGCUCAGUGAGGUCUGUUUCAACGCUUAGCCACUAGUGUCAUGUUUCUGUCUACUGUCUUUCGUGUUAAUGCGUUUCACACUGAAUGUUUUUGACUGUUUAAUUUGGUACAGGCUCAUGUUACCAAAAUGGAGUACGGUACAAACUAAAAUGAUCAUUGCUUUACUCUACUCCUAAUCCAUUUUAUUCUGUAUUUUGAUCAUUUCACAUUGAGUAUUUGAGUUGACAGUGACAUCAUCUUUAUAGGGAAGAUGAGGAAGCUCACCGACUGCAUCUUCGUUGGCAUCAAUGCCCUCGUGCAUGUCGAUGUCAUCUUCACCAGGAUCAAUGCUCUCGUGCAUGUCGAUAUCAUCGAUAUCAUCUUCAUCGGGACCGACUCCUCCAGGUUGUUGUGUCGUGCUGGAGAUGCUGCCUGCUUCGAGCUGUUGCUGUUGCUGCCUACUUCAAGCCCUCCAGGUACUCUGCACUGCCAAUUCCAUAUUCAUCUGAGCACGAUUUCAGUCUUGUAUGCCUGCUAGAGUUCUUGUACUCAGAAACUUUGUCUUGAUUGAUACUCUGCCAUCAAUUUUUUACUGUCUACAGUACCUGUACACUGAAACUGUCUUGAUUGAUACAGUACUCUGCCAGCAAACUUUGUCUGGAGUAUUUUGAGCUUUUCCUUUUCAAACUUUUACUCCAGGAGGCGAUCUGGACCAAGUGGGGAGGCUAUCUGCAGCAGUACCUGGAGCUGCAUGGGAGGGCGCGGCGAUCUGGACCUGGGGCUGCCGAUCUGAAGCUGUACCCCCUCCGGCGAGCAGUACCUCGAUCUGAAGCAGUACUCUCUGGAGCUGGCGAGGCCUUAGGAGGGGGACAACGAUCUGCAGCAGCACCCCCUCCGACGAGGCGAGUUGGUGAGGCCCCCUCCAGCGACAGGGGGCUGGAUUGGCGCAGGCGACAGGGGGUGGCCCUGGGAGAGGGGCGGCCCUGGGAUGGGGGGCGACCCUGGCGGCAGGAAGCAAGCAGCAGCGGCGACCGGGAUGGAGAGGAUCUGCUCGGCGAGGAAGAUGACGGCAAUAGCGAUUCAAAUUAGGGGCACUUCUGUCCUUUCCUCCCUUUUCACCUGGUCGGGACGUUUUCUAAAACGUCAUAUAUUUCG